UGGGGAAUAUUGCACAAUGGGCGCAAGCCUGAUGCAGCCAUGCCGCGUGUGUGAAGAAGGCCUUCGGGUUGUAAAGCACUUUCAGUCGUGAGGAAGGUGGUGUUGUUAAUAGCAGCAUCAUUUGACGUUAGCGACAGAAGAAGCACCGGCUAACUCCGUGCCAGCAGCCGCGGUAAUACGGAGGGUGCGAGCGUUAAUCGGAAUUACUGGGCGUAAAGCGCAUGCAGGUGGUUUGUUAAGUCAGAUGUGA
rnacentral:rRNA from 1 species